UUAGUUAUUAAAACUUUGUUUCUUACUUGAAUUGUAGAUUCAGGGGAAUGGUAUGUAGUUCGUUCAAUCAACGCCUGAAUUUUGGAGAGUAGAAAGUUUUAGUUUAUUUAAGAUGAACAAGAUUGGAAGAGAGAGAAGCCAUAUAUUUGGAAUCCCCGCCCCUCAUUUCCAUAGCCAAUUAAUCAACUGGCAUGCCAAUUGAUCAUUAGUGGGAUAUUUGGCUGCUCCUGGAUAAUUGUGGCGGAACCCAUACUUAACCACUUAUUUUGAAAGAUGCAAAUGCAAUGAUAGACUGACAUUGCUUCUGUUUUGUUAGAAGCCAUUGGCUAAAUCAGAUUUUUUCUAGGUCAAAUUGAGGCCCUCAGUUCCCCUUACUUUGAUAACACAUCAAACAACCGGCACAACCAGCAGUGUGUAAGUACCCAUGUUUCUUGAAGCAUAAUCUCUAGAUCUAUAAAUGAUGAGAAAAAUUGUUCUAGAAAUAUGGAGAAAGAAACUGCAUAUUACCUGAAGACCCUGGACAGGUAUGCUUUAUUGGAUCUCUCACCUCUUUAAAUGCAAGUAGAGGAGGCUUUGCCAUUGGAAAGCAUCUUAUGAACUUAAAUAUUCAUAAAGAAAAGCAUUGAAACAACAAGGUUCUCAGCUUUAUAAAACAAAAAUAUUCAUAAAAAAAAGCAUGCUCCACUUCUUCACUAACCUGUUCAGUGGCAUACAUAAGAAACAUCAAAAGCAUUACACCUCAAUAUAGGACAAUUUCACUAUCAAGCAUGUCAGCCAACUGGCACAGACACUUCUUCUAAGAAGUUGUGACUGUCUGUUUAACAAGACAACACAACCAAAAAUCUUUUGAGUAUGAAUUUCAAAGAUUCACGGUAAAACCCUGCCUUAAUAAUUGUGAUAAUUUAUUUUAUGCGGCUUAUGGACCAAAUAAUUCCCUCACCAACCAUCUUACCUCAUUCAUUCAAUUCUGUACUUUUAAUUAUUUUGGACAAGAUUAUGGAGUGUUGUUCAAAGGCCAAAAUAAAGAAAUAUGGUGCUUCCCUACUCAAAUAGUGCAAUAAAAGUUUGAGACCUGCUACAUAACCUCCCCUCCCUCGCAACCUCCGCACACUGCGUCCCAACCCCUCCCCAGCGUUCUCUUCUGUACAGAUUCAUCACACAGGCCGCGGUGUUUCUUCUCACUGCUUGUCUUCCAAAUGGAACCGUCCGGGACUGCCGAUAUUGGUCUUUUAUGACCGAAGGGUUUAUGGUUUUCUCUCCAUUCCAUUUUCGUUUCCCAACAUUCCAUAUAUUGUGUGUUUUUGUGUUUAUUGAAUCUGCAGCUUUGUGUUUUUUGGAUCUGUGUUAUUUUGUAUUAUAAUGGUUGCUGAUUUUGGGUGAGAAACUGUCAUUGUUAGAUAUGUGUUUUUUGAGUCUUUCUUCUUCCCCUGAAUAAUCUCAUUCACUGUGUAUAGCUUUAUUUCACAGCACAUAAACUAGAACUUGUGUUGUGCAAAAUUACCGUGGUACUCUACCAACAUAGAGUUCAUAGCCAGAUAAGAUGCAUUAUUGGCACUCUUUCCGUGCAAAUUUCUUGACUUUAGCUUUCAACCUUUGGAUUAAAAACUAAUUUUAAUGCAUUAGCAGCUAAUCUUAAAACAACAAGACUUUGCUCAAAGAAUAUAUAUAUAUAUAUAUAUAUGUGUGU